rnacentral:lncRNA from 1 species
UUUUAAUUCGGUGAUAACGCUACGGGGAAUCCGACCUGAGCAGUCCAAUUGGGUUUGCGAAUCCGGAACUUAACCUCUUGGGACGUCAGAAUUUUAUUUUACUAGCAUACAAUAGCAUCUCGUAUCAUUUAAAUUUAUUAGAACUUCGGUCUUGACGUUGUGUUGGAAAAAGAAAAGUGGUAAAUUACCUUAGGUUUAAAGGUGUAGGCAUUCUUGGGAAUGGUGCCAAGACAUGCCAGGUGGUAGGAUUGCAACACGUUACUUAAAAUGUAAGCUAUUAAUAUUUAAAUAUUCCUAUAAAUGUGCUAUUUUUAGAAAAUAUAUCGCAAGCUAAAUAAUUUUUUUUUUAAAAAUCCUUGACCCAAAUUUAAAAUGUUUACUUGUACAGGGGAAACACUUUGAGAAAUCCAGGGUUUUGUUUUUUGUUUGACUUAGUUUAAGAGGCAUACUCCAUAUACCCCAGUCAGGCUUUGAACUUGCCAUAUAGCCAAAGAUGACCUGGAAUUCCUGGCCAUCUUGCCUCCUGCCACCCUCCCCAAAUACUAAGAUCACUGGUAUGCCACCACAUCCUGUUCUGUGUGGCACUGGGAAUGAAACUCAGCUUCAUGCAUGCUAAACAAGCAUUCUACCAGCUGUGCUUCCCCAGGUCCAAAAUGAAUUCAACCUUGUAGACCUAUAGUUUCUUUUACUAAUAUCUAAACUUGUGCUUUAAAUACAUUUCCUAAAGUGAGUAGGUACUAUAUGAUCAAUUAACAGACUGUGUGUGCACAGAGAAGGCAAUGCCUUCUGAUACUGGUUUUGAUAUUCCUUCAAUAAGAAAUUAUGGGACUAACUUCAUAUCCCAUAUGUAUUUGUGGGGAAUAUGUAUAAAGGUUAACAUUACAUUGCUCAUAGCUUGAUAAUUUUUAAAACUUUCAAAAUUUGUUCUUUGUGAUUGAAAUGUGCAAGAUUGCAUUGCAUUAAUUUUCUCAUCCUUCAAAUAAAAUCUUUGCUCAAUUUAUAUGC